GCCGGGCGUGGUGGUGCGUGCCUGUAGUCCCAACUACUUGGGAGGUUGAGGCUGGAGGAUCUCUUGAGUCCAGGAGUUCUGGGCUGUAGUGCAGGAUGCCCAUCAGGUGUCUGCACUAAGUUCAGCAACAAUAUGGUGACCUCCCAGGAGCGGGGAACCACCAGGUUGCCUAAGGAGGGGUGAACUGGCCCAGGUCAGAAACGGAGCAGGUCAAAACUCCCGUGAUCAGUAGUGGGAUCACGCCUGUGAACAGCCACUGCACUCCAGCCUGGGCAACAUAGUGAGACCCCCUUCU
rnacentral:SRP_RNA from 1 species